CUCAUCAUUGUCUUCAUCCCACCAACACAAACUUAAAAAUAGUAAAUGCUUACUGUAAAGCCAUGUGUAGUUCUUAUCAUACAUCAGCGAUCCAAUGUAAUGUCAGUGUGUUAUGGUGCAUGUGUUGUCGCUAAAAUGGUUUCUUGAGACUUGUGGUUAUCUCAGAUUCUGAAUGUGGUCCUACAGUACGUAGCCCUCACAUCACCUGUGGAUAAAUUGCCACGCUGCCACCAGAUUACUAAUAAGGUACAAAUAUAAGAAGAAAUUGUUCUUGUUCUUCUCACUUCUUGAAUUAUUACACAAAUUACCACCAAUUUUAGAGUCAAACCAAGCAUGCAGAAAUGUAAAAUGUACUGUAUAUACAAGCAAGCAUGCAAUUGGAUAUUUAAAGAAACACAGCUGAUGUGUUAUAGGCAGUGUAAGAAUACCCAAAAGUGUUCUGAAAGAUUAGUUUUGGUCAUCAAUGAAACACAUAUUAAAGUCUAUGUGGUGAUAAGUGCAGUUGAAGAUUAUCAACAGGUCGUUGCCAGAUUUCUCCAAAUGAACAGUGAGCGCGAGGAAAACGUUGGGUACUAGAUACAGAAAGAGGAAAUCCUGGACAUUUUCUCUUAUCUCUUCUCUACAUUUUUCAGUUUAUUAUAAAAUCUGUGCAAAGUGUGCUCAGCAGUUUCAGGGCUACACUUCAAAAUCGACGCACUGGAGAUAAUUUACAUGUUCCGUUUCUCUGUGAAAUGUCUUUUCGUCUUUUCAUUAUUAAUAUCCUUUUUUUGCAGGGAUAGUGUUUUACCAGGAAUUUGAAGGUCUGGCUUUACUCAACAUUUUUAUGUUUCUGUUUGGUUGUCUCCUGUCAUUUCUUGGAGUUUUCCUGAUAGCCCGAAACAGACCAAAGAUAAAGCAACAAGAUCGCAAUAUUAUCUCUUUGGACAAGAUCCCUGGGAGAGUGCACGCAGGCAAAGUGCAGCCUGAGGCCAAGACUUCGACAUACGGUUCGCUGGCAGCCAAGCUUAUGUGCAGUAGUGCUGGACAAACAGAUGAUUCAUAAAGACCCGCUCCAGUGCUGGUUGGGACUGCAAUUUAGGUAGACUUGUGAGUGCAUGUCUUUCCUUUGGGUACUUAAAUAAUAUCUCUAUUUAUAGCAAUAAAUGGUGGGAGGCAAGUCAAGCCAGUGUCAGCUGAGUGCCAGUAUCAGUGGCCAAAUUGGUGUUAAAUUAUUACACCAAAACUAGCAAAUACCUCUCUGAAAAAGAGUGCUACUAGACUAUAUUCUGUUUCACCUGUGUGAUAGGAGUAAUUCCAGCUGGGUAAUCAAUGAUACUUGGAAAACAACUGACUCUAAAUUAGACCAAAAAAACACCUCAGGAUUAAAGAGAAACAUCAGAUGCCUUAUGGGCAGCAGCAGCCUUUCAUUUUUAAACAGGCCACUCUGACCAACACCUGUAAAUAAAAAUAUUUGAAUU